rnacentral:tmRNA from 1 species
GGGGCUGAACUGGUAUCGACCCUGAUUCGACCGAGGUAGGAGAAGCGAGCCGAGGACUCCCGGUGUGACCUCGUUAAUCCUCUGGGAACUUAAUUAACUGCCGCUGCUUAAUCGCACGGUCGCCAUCACCUAAAUGAUGGCCGUCGGCCCGAGAUGAGCCUGCGAUCUCGGGAUCCGGCGUCGCCUAGCAGGCUUACCGCCCGGCGUUCGCUCGAGGCAAAGGGCGGGACACUUACUCGAGCUAGGAGGCAGCCGCUGCCGUUCGUGGGCCGGCUGACUCCGAAACCUGACCACGAACUACGCUCGUAGAAGCCCUAUCGCGGGGUCGGGGGACCCGGGUUCGAUUCCCGGCAGCUCCACUU